rnacentral:lncRNA from 1 species
UUGUUGGUGAAGCCAUCAUGGGUAACACGUCUAUCAAAUUGCCAUGGCCUCCCAAGCAAGAUGUGGCUCGCUUCCAUUGGUAACACAUCACAGAGAAUCUCGUCCUCAUAUCUCCCAAUAGAAAUAGGUAUCAAGACUUGAGUAGAUACCUUCAUCUCGCCUUCUUCAGUAAGCUAUUGCAACCGAUAUGGCCUUGGGUGUUUCUGCACUUUCAAUCCUAGCUUCUUCACCAUUGUCUCACUAGCAACAUUUACACAGCUUUCCUUGAACAAGACACCUUGUAUAGAACAAAUUCUCACGCUCCUCGAGCUCUUCGGUCUUGGAUUGUAGAUUCAGAAGUCAUCUUGCCACCAACAGCCUCCCUUUUACCGGUUCUUAUUCACAUUCUCCUUCAGAUUCCUCAUGAUCAGUUCCAGAUACAUAAUCCUCAGAUUCAUAUUCUCCAUUCUCAAGAACGAUCAUGAUUCUCUUGUUAGUACACUCAUUCGCAUAAUGCCCUCGCC